UACGAAGGGGGCUAGCGUUGUUCGGAAUUACUGGGCGUAAAGCGCGCGCAGGCGGCUAUCCAAGUCAGUGGUGAAAGCCCGGAGCUCAACUCCGGAACUGCCAUUGAAACUGUUUAGCUUGAGGAUGAGAGAGGUGAGUGGAAUUCCCAGUGUAGAGGUGAAAUUCGUAGAUAGUGGGAAGAACACCGGUGGCGAAGGCGGCUCACUGGCUCAUUACUGACGCUCAGGCGCGAUGAGCGUGGGGGAUCAAACAGG
rnacentral:rRNA from 1 species